rnacentral:rRNA from 1 species
GACGAGUCUCACAAACGUUAUUCGGAAUUACUGGGCUUAAAGGGUGCGUAGGCGGUGGAGUAAGUCGGAUGUGAAAUACCUUAGCUUAACUAGGGAACUGCACUCGAUACUACUUUGCUAGAGUAAGACAGAGGUGAGUGGAACUGAGGGUGGAGCGGUGAAAUGCGUUGAUAUCCUAAGGAACACCGGUGGCGAAAGCGGCUCACUGGACCUCUUCUGACGCUGAGGCACGAAAGCUAGGGUAGCGAACGGG